ACAGUUAGAAAUGACUGCUAAUACCGCAUAAGACCACAGCACCGCAUGGUGCGGGGGUAAAAACUCCGGUGGUAUGAGAUGGACCCGCGUCUGAUUAGCUAGUUGGUAAGGUAACGGCUUACCAAGGCGACGAUCAGUAGCCGACCUGAGAGGGUGACCGGCCACAUUGGGACUGAGACACGGCCCGAACUCCUACGGGAGGCAGCAGUGGGGAAUAUUGCACAAUGGGGGAAACCCUGAUGCAGCGACGCCGCGUGAGCGAAGAAGUAUUUCGGUAUGUAAAGCUCUAUCAGCAGGGAAGAAAAUGACGGUACCUGACUAAGAAGCACCGGCUAAAUACGUGCCAGCAGCCGCGGUAAUACGUAUGGUGCAAGCGUUAUCCGGAUUUACUGGGUGUAAAGGGAGCGUAGACGGAUGGGCAAGUCUGAUGUGAAAGCCCGGGGCUCAACCCCGGGACUGCAUUGGAAACUGUUCAUCUAGAGUGCUGGAGAGGUGAGUGGAAUUCCUAGUGUAGCGGUGAAAUGCGUAGAUAUUAGGAGGAACACCAGUGGCGAAGG
rnacentral:rRNA from 1 species